GGGUGUGACCAUACUAGCACUAUAGCACUCGAUCCAAUCAAAACUACGAAGUUAAGCAUGCUUGGGCAUGUGUAGUACUAGAAGGGGUCACCCAUGAAAAGUCCUCAUGUUUCUCCCC
rnacentral:rRNA from 1 species